UACGUAGGGGGCAAGCGUUGUCCGGAUUUAUUGGGCGUAAAGAGCGUGUAGGCGGCCAUACAGGUCAGCUGUGAAAACUCGAGGCUCAACCUCGAGACGUCGGUUGAAACCGUUUGGCUAGAGUCCGGAAGAGGAGAGUGGAAUUCCCGGUGUAGCGGUGAAAUGCGCAGAUAUCGGGAAGAACACCCGUGGCGAAGGCAGGCUUCUGGGUACUACCUGACACUGCUAGGACGAAAGCGUGGGGAGCGAAUGGG
rnacentral:rRNA from 1 species